UCUCCGUAGGUGAACCUGCGGAGGGAUCAUUACUGAGUGAGGGUUUAACCGCCCGACCUCCAACCCUUUGUGAACACAACUUGUUGCUUCGGGGGCGACCCUGCCGUUUCGACGGCGAGCGCCCCCGGAGGCCUUCAAACACUGCAUCUUUGCGUCGGAGUUUAAGUAAAUUAAACAAAACUUUCAACAACGGAUCUCUUGGUUCUGGCAUCGAUGAAGAACGCAGC
rnacentral:misc_RNA from 1 species